rnacentral:rRNA from 1 species
AUUGAACGCUGGCGGCAUGCCUUACACAUGCAAGUCGAACGGCAGCACGGGGGCAACCCUGGUGGCGAGUGGCGAACGGGUGAGUAAUGCAUCGGAACGUGCCCCGUAGCGGGGGAUAACCAGUCGAAAGACUGGCUAAUACCGCAUACGCUCCACGGAGGAAAGCAGGGGAUCGCAAGACCUUGCACUAUGGGAGCGGCCGAUGCCCGAUUAGCUAGUUGGUGAGGUAAAGGCUCACCAAGGCGACGAUCGGUAGCUGGUUUGAGAGAACGACCAGCCACACUGGGACUGAGACACGGCCCAGACUCCUACGGGAGGCAGCAGUGGGGAAUUUUGGACAAUGGCGCAAGCCUGAUCCAGCCAUGCCGCGUGCGGGAUGAAGG